AAAGAGCGAUAUGUAGUGCGAAAUGCGCUCACCUGAGAGUCAUCGAGUUUUUGAACGCAACUUGCGUCCCGCGGGCAACUGCGGGGCAUGUCUGUUUGAGCAUCAUCAAAGCAUUGCUUCGUGCGAGGCAGAGUUGGGGCGCCACUUGCAGAUUUGGAUUUGGAUUCGGAUUGGAUCCAGGUCUGGAUUCACUGGCGGCCUGGAACAGAGAGCAGGACAGCAAGCUGUCGCAGCGUGCCAGUUGCUUGCAGCAAGAUCGCGGCAGGCAGCGGCUGUCCGCAGGUGUCUUUGGUCUUUGGCAGUUUGUGCAGUAUUUUUAAUUCAUUUAUUUUUACUUGCAUAUUCACAGCAAAAACAAAGCAAACAAGCCUGCACAGUACAUUUGGUCUCAAAUCAGACA
rnacentral:misc_RNA from 1 species